rnacentral:misc_RNA from 1 species
CACUCUACUAGCGGUUCGCCGCCGACCGGCGUCAUUCGUAAAGGCACUGCGCCGUGUCGACAGACCGAAAUUAGGUGCCUUCUUCCUCCUAGAAUCACUCAACAACAACAUUCGUAGUUGUGCUGUGCUCUGUCCAUUUGGCUGCGACGCUUCGUGGUCACAUCGACAGUGAUCGAGCGCUGAGACACCUCUGUGGUAUGUGAAAGGACGCGAGUGUGAUUACAUUGUUUUUCCGAUCACCGCAUCCCUGUUUCGCGAUGACACCCAUUCCUUGUGCCGUCAAAGGCUGUGAUUCCAAGACCGGGGGCGACGUUAGUAUGCACAGUUUUCCGAACGACCCAGCGGUGAGACAAGUGUGGGUAGAUUUUGUGCGUCGCUAUAGCAGCUGUGACUGGACGCCAGCCAAGCGAAGCCGGAUUCGCUCGCUGCAUUUCGGCCCCGACUGCUACCGGAUCGGGAACCAUCGGUACCUUCUUGAGUUCGGCAUCGCGCUGCCAAAGAAGCGAUAUUUGGAGCCAGAAGCUGUGCCCACGCUCUACGCUGCUUCAGCACAACAUCGUGACGCAACUCCAGCAUUAGAGCCCACAUGCAAGCGUCCCUGUUUCGAGGAAUCUCGUGACACAGGGACUUCGUGCGGGAGUCCUUACGAACUGCCGGCCGUCGACGAAACAUCGCAGUUUUCUAGCCCAGAUUCACAAGUUCCUCACGAUGGUGACGAUGUGAUCGCUGAGCAUGUGGCAGCUUCCCCAGAGCACACUGAAAAGUUCAAUGACCUGACACAGUGCAGAGUGCCAAAGGCCUCCAAAGCCACCCAGACUUCAGCAAUGACUGUGAUGCAAGAUGUUGGUGUUCAAGCAGUAAAAACGAGUGCUGAAAUCGGUACAGUUGCAGUUGGCAGUGGUGAUGGCAGUGUUGAGAGUUGGCAGUGGUGAUGGUGGCAUGGCUGUGGCUGUUUGGCUGUCUAUUCUAAAUCACAUAAAGGACAAGCACAGAGGACAUGGUGUGCUUUAUCCAAAGUACCAGCACAAGAAAUUGGAGGCAAGAAAAUGGUUAGAACCAGCUUUUUUUUUUCUAGACACAGAAGCUUAUGACAAGGUGUGCAGCAUCGUGUCAAAUAAGCACCUUCUGGAAGACAUCAGACAGAUGUCGCCAAACUUUCAAACUUAUGCCGUGGAAUCGUUCCACGCUAUUAUAAACAGAUUUGCAUCUAAGAGCUAUGCCUUCUCCUGCCAUGGCAUCCAAGCCAGGUAUCAGUUGGCUGCUCUACACUAUAAUUAAAAUGCAAGCACAGACACAGAGUGGUGACCAGAUCAAGCAUCCGGUGACAGAUCAAGCAUCCAAGGGCAAGGAAAGGAGAUGCUGUUGCUUGCGCCAUCAAAGAACCACCACAUUACGCUGACGUGAGCCACCUUCUGUCCGCUGUCAAGGAGCUGGUUGCUGCGGGGAACGCUAGCAAAAAUAGCACUACAUCACAGCCACCACACCUGUGAAGCACCUAUGGCCCAGUUGACAAAGCAGCUAUUGUUGAAGCUCAUAUAUCUUGGUUUCAGAUGUAGCUAGCCAGUGACGAGUAUCAUAAGAGCAUACUUCUGUCACCACGAAGAUAGCUUAGGAGUUUUGGGGUUUCACACAAUUCGCAUACACCAUCCGAUGAUCCGGCCCCCGUUAAGCCAACCGCUCCGAUCCACGUCAUUGUGACCCAUCCACGAGACCCUGGUACUUUCUGCGGAACUGACAACCUACACUUCGAAAAGUGGCUAGCUGAUUACGAGCGUGCCAGCAAGACCAACUGGUGCGACUCAACUCUAAUGCUUACGAACGUCAGUUAAUACCUGAGGGGAACGGCUAGUGCGUGAUUCGACACGCACGAGAAGGAGUUGACGAGUUGGGACGUCUGCAAACAAAAAAGGAAAGAUCUUUUUGGUAAGCCAAUCGCACACCAACAAGCUGACCAGAAACAACUUUUCUGACUAUUCAUUUUUUUUUGUUGGUAGCUAAUACUGUUUGCAUGAAUCUGGUGGUUCGUGCCGUGCAGAAACCUCAACGGAGCCGUACAUGGUGUACAUCCAAGAUGUCUUAGCCUUGUGCCAGCAGGUCAACGACAGAAUGUCCGAAGCUGACAAAGUCAGUCAUAUUCUAAAGGGCAUCGCCAAUGAUGCCUUCCAUUUACUUGUUUAGGAAGCCUGCUCCACCAUCGACGACAUCAUCAUGGAGUACAACCGUGAAGAAGCGAAGAGCCGCCGAGUCAUGCAACAAUUUGUUCGGCUCUUUAAUACCGCUGGUCGUGCAAAACCGUCCCACUUCAGCCACAGUCAUCGCCCUCUACCGAUAAUUUCCCUUGAUGAGCAAAUCUUGAUGCCCCAACCUCGGCCCCAUCUUCGGACCGCUUGCCGUCCCCGCACAACCAGCAAGGUUCUCGGUCGGAUAGGCCCCGUUGUUCACCGUCCCUGCCCCUCUUCGGAAAACUAAUCAGUGCAGCUCCCGAAGGUGAUGCUGAAUUGGCUUAUCGACCUAGAAAUCCUCUGUUGACUCUGGCUACACGACAAAACCUUUUAGACGUCGAAGUAGAUGGCGUGCCGUUUUCGGCGCUCAUCGACUCUGGUGCCCAAUUGUCCAUCAUUAGCGCUCACUUUUCUCGCUGUCUUCGCAAGGUUUUUACUUCAUCGCCUGUUGUUCGUGUAGCCGAUGGAGGUACACCUUGAGCUCUUGGAUUGUGUACUGUGCGGAAUCUGUACUACCUGAUUACCCCUUCCUUGUACGUUCUCUUGACACGCGGUAUAGCUCCAUUGCACUCAUUUGUGAGUACUUCUGCGAACCACGCUUGUAUGCCUGUAUUGAACUUUGGACAUUCUGCACAAUCGCUUGCCGAAGGUCGUGCUGGGUGCCCUAUCACCUUUCGAAGCACGCUGCUCUGCAGGCCUAGCCAUUGAUGCCCCCAGUCAUCUUCAGGAAGCCCUGCUGCUAACGCAGCACUUGAUGACCUACUCGACGACAUGAUAUCCCUGGAUCUUUGCCCUUCUCAAAUCCAAAGCGUAGACGAAGAAAUGGACAUUGGCAGGGCACGCACAAUGUAGCGCAUAGGCAGGAUAACUGCUGGUUAUUAAAGGCUGAAUGAUUGGAUUCCAAAAUAGAUGCAUGAGAGGAAGACAGAAAAUUAGGUGGGCAGAUGACACUCGGAAGUUUUCGGACAGAACGCAGCUGCGGCAAGCACACGGCCACGUUGAUUGGCUGAAUAUGGGAGAGGCCUUUGCCCUGCAAUAGGCGUAGCCAUGCUGAAUGUGAUCAUGGUGGUGAUAAUGAUGACGGUUCAUUCACUGUGAUUUCGACUAUGUUAAUGAGCUAAUUCAAGCCCUUAAUAAUUGUUCCGAUCACUAAGAGCCAAAUCCAAAAUUUUCUCAUCAAUAUUAUAUAUUUUAGCCACAACUUCGAUGACAUGAGCGUGCCGAAACGAUAAUUGUUGGAGCAAACCUGACCAUGUUUCCAGUAACAAAAGACUGCGCUUUUCUCAGUUUCUGUAAAAGUGGACUUGCCUCUUUUAGAAAAAUAAAAGUCAUAUUUUUUUGAAA